rnacentral:rRNA from 1 species
ACCGCGACCCCAGGUCAGGCGGGACUAGCCGCU